GAACGCUGGCGGCAGGCCUAACACAUGCAAGUCGAGCGGUAACAGGAAUUAGCUUGCUAAUUCGCUGACGAGCGGCGGACGGGUGAGUAAUGCCUGGGAAUAUGCCUUAGUGUGGGGGAUAACUAUUGGAAACGAUAGCUAAUACCGCAUAACGUCUUCGGACCAAAGAGGGGGACCUUCGGGCCUCUCGCGCUAAGAUUAGCCCAGGUGGGAUUAGCUAGUUGGUGAGGUAAAGGCUCACCAAGGCAACGAUCCCUAGCUGGUCUGAGAGGAUGAUCAGCCACACUGGAACUGAGACACGGUCCAGACUCCUACGGGAGGCAGCAGUGGGGAAUAUUGCACAAUGGGGGAAACCCUGAUGCAGCCAUGCCGCGUGUAUGAAGAAGGCCUUCGGGUUGUAAAGUACUUUCAGUCGUGAGGAAGGGUGUGUAGUUAAUAGCUGCAUACCUUGACGUUAGCGACAGAAGAAGCACCGGCUAACUCCGUGCCAGCAGCCGCGGUAAUACGGAGGGUGCGAGCGUUAAUCGGAAUUACUGGGCGUAAAGCGCAUGCAGGCGGUCUGUUAAGCAAGAUGUGAAAGCCCGGGGCUCAACCUCGGAACCGCAUUUUGAACUGGCAGACUAGAGUCUUGUAGAGGGGGGUAGAAUUUCAGGUGUAGCGGUGAAAUGCGUAGAGAUCUGAAGGAAUACCGGUGGCGAACGCGCCCCUGGACAAAGACUG
rnacentral:rRNA from 1 species